rnacentral:lncRNA from 1 species
AACAAUAAAAGACUCAACAAAGACUCAAUAUGUGAACUAAUAUUUUUCAAUGAGAUACUUAGUCUUGAGCUUGGUCUUCGUAUAUAUAAUAAUUAGGCACGCUCCUCUUUCUUCACAAAUGCUCAGACGCUCCUUGGGAAUCAUAAAGGAUGAUCUGAUACUUUUUCAAUCUUCAUUAAGGAUAUAUCAAGACUUUCCAAAAGUGUUUAAAGGACUUUAUAAGAUAGGAUAAGUCAUCCAGCUAUUCCAUUAA